rnacentral:misc_RNA from 1 species
GGACAACCCUAAAUCUCCGAAUCUAUGGAGGCUAAACACAGUUCAUCGCGUAGAAGAACUCAAAUCGAUCAUAAGAAUGGGUCCAAUAUGGGCAUCAGGGAUCAUCCUGAUCACAGCAUACGCUCAACAAUCCACAUUCUCAGUCCAACAAGCCAAAACAAUGAACAGACACCUACUAAACUCCUUCGAAAUCCCAGCUGCCUCGAUGACUGUCUUCACAUUAACGACAAUGCUAUGCACCAUUGCCUUCUAUGACCGCGUAUUUGUACCUAUUGCACGUAAGUUCACUGGACUCGAACGAGGAAUCUCAUUCCUAAGUAGAAUGGGAAUUGGAUUCUUCAUAUCUGUUCUAGCUACAUUAGUAGCUGGAUUUAUUGAAGUUAAACGAAAAAAUGUUGCAUCGACUUAUGGACUAGUCGAUAAACCUAAAUCACUAGUUCCAAUUUCAGUAUUUUGGCUAGUGCCACAGUAUUGUUUACAUGGUAUAGCUGAGGCAUUUAUGUCAAUUGGACAUCUUGAAUUUUUCUAUGAUCAAGCUCCAGAGAGUAUGAGAAGUACAGCAACCGCGUUAUUUUGGACAUCGAUUUCAGCUGGGAACUAUUUGAGUACAUUUCUGGUUUCGUUAGUUCAUAAAUUUACCAAUUGGCUGCCUGAUAAUAACUUGAAUGAGGGGAGAUUAGAGUAUUUUUACUGGUUAAUUACGAUUUUACAAGUGGUUAAUUUGAUUUACUAUGUGUUUUGUGCAAGAUUAUAUACUUUUAAGCCUAUUCAGAUGCACAAAACAGAGGAGUUGGAGACUAGAAAAGAGGGGAUUGAACUUGUAAACAAUGUUUAGUUUGUAUUUUGCAACUUUAGUUUUAUAGUAUUAUGUAAUAGUUUUUUUAGGUUAUGAGGAAAGAAAAGAAUAUGGUUAUGAAUAGUUUAAUGUAUUAUGUAAUAAUAAUUAUUAAUAGAUGGAAUAGUAAAACUUUG